CGCGAAAGCCCCGCAAGGGGUGAGUAGAGUGGCAAACGGGUGAGUAACACGUGGGUGACCUGCCUUCAAGUGGGGGAUAACGUCCCGAAAGGGACGCUAAUACCGCAUAACAUGCUGUUUUUGAACAGAUGGCCAUCAAAGCUGGGGACCGCAAGGCCUGGCGCUUGAAGAGGGGCCCGCGCCUGAUUAGCUAGUUGGUGGGGUAAUGGCUCACCAAGGCUUCGAUCAGUAUCCGGCCUGAGAGGGCGGACGGACACACUGGGACUGAGACACGGCCCAGACUCCUACGGGGGGCAGCAGUGGGGAAUUGUUCGCAAUGGGCGCAAGCCUGACGACGCAACGCCGCGUGGAGGAUGAAGACCUUCGGGUCGUAAACUCCUUUCGAUCGAGACGAAUGGUCUCUGGGUGAACAGCCCGGGGAAGUGACGGUACCGAGAGAAGAAGCCCCGGCUAACUCCGUGCCAGCAGCCGCGGUAAUACGGGGGGGGCAAGCGUUGUUCGGAAUUACUGGGCGUAAAGGGCUCGUAGGUGGCCAACUAAGUCAGACGUGAAAUCCCUCGGCUUAACCGGGGAAUGGCGUCUGAUACUGGAUGGCUUGAGUUCGGGAGAGGGAUGCGGAAUUCCAGGUGUAGCGGUGAAAUGCGUAGAUAUCUGGAGGAACACCGGUGGCGAAGGCGGCAUCCUGGACCGAGACUGACACUGAGGAGCGAAAGCCAG
rnacentral:rRNA from 1 species